rnacentral:lncRNA from 1 species
CUACUGAACGGUCUGAUUCUGUCGGACCUUCUAUCAUCUACUGGUAUACUUCUCGCUACUCCACUGAUCACAGAGGGCCUUCCAUACAUCCAUUCGCAUCCAGUGAUCCCUAUAGGACUUCCAAUCCGAUAGUGAUUGAGAACCAGAAUACUUGAUAGCAGACUGUCGUAGGCUAUGUAGCCCAUCUCGAAAUCGACGUGUGGCUAUCUGCUCAAAGAUCAGAUAGCUAGCCUCCUCAUUCUGAGAAAAUAAGAAUCGAUAGUACUCCUGCAAGUAGAAGUAAAUAUGUAUUAAUAAAUAGAAUAUAAAUCUACCAUGAAUUAUUAAAUUAAACACCAUUGACUUACCAAGAACAUCUCCCAGACUGCAUCAUGAGCCCCC